rnacentral:rRNA from 1 species
AGGAUGAACGCUGGCGGCGUGCCUAACACAUGCAAGUCGAGCGAUCUUCUUCGGAAGAGAGCGGCGGACGGGUGAGUAACGCGUGGGUAACCUGCCCUGUACACACGGAUAACAUACCGAAAGGUAUGCUAAUACGAGAUAACAUACUUUUAUCGCAUGGUAGAAGUAUCAAAGCUCCGGCGGUACAGGAUGGACCCGCGUCUGAUUAGCUAGUUGGUAAGGUAACGGCUUACCAAGGCGACGAUCAGUAGCCGACCUGAGAGGGUGAUCGGCCACAUUGGAACUGAGACACGGUCCAAACUCCUACGGGAGGCAGCAGUGGGGAAUAUUGCACAAUGGGCGAAAGCCUGAUGCAGCAACGCCGCGUGAGCGAUGAAGGCCUUCGGGUCGUAAAGCUCUGUCCUCAAGGAAGAUAAUGACGGUACUUGAGGAGGAAGCCCCGGCUAACUACGUGCCAGCAGCCGCGGUAAUACGUAGGGGGCUAGCGUUAUCCGGAAUUACUGGGCGUAAAGGGUGCGUAGGUGGUUUCUUAAGUCAGAGGUGAAAGGCUACGGCUCAACCGUAGUAAGCCUUUGAAACUGGGAAACUUGAGUGCAGGAGAGGAGAGUGGAAUUCCUAGUGUAGCGGUGAAAUGCGUAGAUAUUAGGAGGAACACCAGUUGCGAAGGCGGCUCUCUGGACUGUAACUGACACUGAGGCACGAAAGCGUGGGGAGCAAACAGGAUUAGAUACCCUGGUAGUCCACGCCGUAAACGAUGAGUACUAGCUGUCGGAGGUUACCCCCUUCGGUGGCGCAGCUAACGCAUUAAGUACUCCGCCUGGGAAGUACGCUCGCAAGAGUGAAA